rnacentral:rRNA from 1 species
UACGGAGGGGGCUAGCGUUGUUCGGAAUUACUGGGCGUAAAGCGCGCGUAGGCGGACCUGCAAGUCGGGGGUGAAAGCCCGAGGCUCAACCUCGGAACUGCCUUCGAUACUGCGGGUCUCGAGUCCGGGAGAGGUGAGUGGAAUUCCUAGUGUAGAGGUGAAAUUCGUAGAUAUUAGGAAGAACACCAAGUGGCGAAGGCGGCUCACUGGCUCGGUUCUGACGCUGAGGCGCGAAAGCGUGGGGAGCAAACAGG